AUUUUCUGUCUCUCAUGGUACCACAGAGAGUCGGCGUGCAUGCUUGGGCCAGCGUGGAGACAGGAUGCGUGUAACUCGAUCCUCAAGGAGCUCUGGCCCUGGUGUCUUAUAAAUAUGGAAAGUUCCAUUGGACAGAGAACGACUGGGCAGUGUGGCCUGCUGAGGAGAGAGAGCUGACCCAACAGACACUUGAUCUGACCGGAGCAAGUCCUGUAGAGCCUGCACUGGAGAGACUUUGGCGAUCACCCAGCCACCACCCUGGCUGUGCCUAGAUGCACCUGGGAGCUUAAAAGAAAAUAAUCAUGUCUGGGUUCCAUCCUUGAAGGUUUAAUUCAAGUUGUCUGGGGUAGAACUCUUUGUGAAGUUCUUUGAGAAAGAACAGCAAAAUGUCACCCAUGACCACAGACCUCCCUGGGGCCUCAAAGUCAGUGCAAGAGAUGAAACAGCACCUGCAGGCUGAACAGAGACCCUGGACUAGGAACAAGGCGCCUCAACCCGGCACAACCUCCCGACAAGCUGGCAACUCCAAAUGAAUGUCAAGUAUUUGCGAAGCAAGAUGGCAAAUGCAAAACAUCAUCCAUGAAGUCUUCAGGAAAGGAACUCAUGGAUCUCCUUUUAAUCGUAAGAAGGUUCCCAGACAUUUCUUCAUGGCUCACCUGUGUAGUCCAAGUCAUAGAUCGAGAAUCUACAGGAUUUAAGUGGCAAAUGUCAGCAUAUUUAUAAAUGGCUUUGGUAGAAUCAUGUUUUCAAACAUGCUUUUGCUCAUAAUUCUCUGUUAAGUGACAAGACCAUCACCUUCCUGUAAAUUAGUUCUUCCAGACCAUCUCAGUUUAGCCAGGUAACAACCACUGAAUGUUCACAAAACAUCCUUUGUGAUUGACUUCUGAAGUAUACACCAAACAAGGAAGAGCAUCCAUGAUCCAUGGAGCCCCUGUAACCAGGCAAAUCUGUGCCAGCUACUAAGCACUUGAGAGAAACGUGGGAAAAUCUACUGUUGGGAAAGACAGAAGAAGAAAACCCAAUUCCAGGAUCCACUGGUUCAUGCUUCAACAUGUCUAGGCCUGACUCUGGUUGGUCUUUCUGGACAAAGCAGAGCUGUGAAGAGGCCAGGAGUCCUUCCAAGGUUAGCAGGCUUCUGAGCUCCUGGGGGAAGGAGAAAAGGAGAACUAGGUCGCACUCGCUGUGCGUUGGUUGCCUGGAAUUGUUCUCCUGGCUGUGCUCAGGGGAAAGGACAACUUGACUUCAGUCUUCUGGAACGCGCAUCAGCUGGGAGCGUCUGCUUGACCCCAAAAGGUCAUGUCAGAAACUUUCAAGUUGUGGAAUGUUGCUUGCUCUGUAGAAACACCAGAGGAUUUCACACCUGAAAGGACAACAUUGCAGACAAAAAUGUUCCAGAUCCUGGCCUUUAGAAACGGGAACAUUAAUUUGCCGCAUGUGUUAAGAGGACUGUAGGAACACAGAUAGUUCUCAUGCUGCCGGACACUUCUGAUUUUAUUUGGUCAAAGUUAUAACCUUUGUGUUUCCUUAUGGUAUUCUCUUGGGAAAGCUCUGGUGAUGGGUUCCUUUAGUGCUCCAGCUGGAGUGAUCCUUCAACUGCACUCAUUUGUAGCCACCUAGACUGCAAAAAAAAAAAAAAAAGCAAAAAUCAGAUCUCAUUGACUGUUCCUGAUAUUGGAGAACUGGAGAGAGUUAUUAUUAGCAUGCCCAGAUUGUCUCAGGUUUCUCUGGUAACUCAGAUGGUAAAGAAUCCACUUGCAAUGCAAGUGACCUUGAUUUGAUUCCUGGGUUGGAAAGAUCCCCUGGAGAUGGGAUAGGCUACCAACUCCAGUAUUCUUGGGCUUCCCUGG